GCCGGGGAGAGAGAGUGGGCGCCGCUGUCCCGCUUCUACGGAAGCCUUGUCUGUCCCACAGCUCAGACUUAAUGAUCAUGUGGCUUUGUUGUGUUUAUGCGACUGGCAUGCUGAUGAAUGAACUGAUCAAUGUCUCUUAGUGAUUUACCCAUGGAAAAAAUCUAUAUUAUAUCUGUACUUUUAAAGAUCUUGGAAGUGUUUGAUCAUUUUAAUUAUCCUAUUCUUUACUGAAAGGUAAUAAAGCAUUAAUUUUGU